rnacentral:rRNA from 1 species
AAACCGUUCAGGGGUAAACCUGAGAAACCCAAAAGAUCGAAUGGGGAGAUUCAUCGUCGACGAGGCUGGCUUCCGUUGGUGCGCAGAUAGCCCGCAAUGGACCUUCGUGGUUUCAGUGCGAGGGUACACCAUCUUCGGCAAAUGUUCCGGCCGCGUAGUCGUGCACUUCUCCCUUAGUAGAACGUCGCGACCCGUUGCGUGUCGGUCUACGGCCCGAGUUGUUGAUUGCCGUGUCGCCAUCGUGCGUACACGGCAAACGCUCGAUCGCCUGGCCGGCUGCGUGACGGUACUCUGACGGUAUCGGGCCGCAACCAAUCCAUUCUCGAAUGUUUGUGCGUCAGGCCCGCCGCAAGCUCGGUUAGUUGUUACCCGGAGGUACGGACCUGGUGCCGGCUCCGGGCCUAACCAGCUGUUAGCAGGCGGUGUCCUCGGACUGGCCAAGCUUUGAAUUACCGGUCAGCGACGCUACUGCUUUGGGUACUCUCAGGACCCGUCUUGAAACACGGACCAAGGAGUCUAACAUGUGCGCGAGUCAUUGGGACAUGUAAACCUAAAGGCGCAAUGAAAGUGAAAGUCGUCCUUAGCGUCGACCAAGGGAGGAUGGGCCGCGUUACGAUGCGGCCUCGCACUCCCGGGGCGUCUCGUUCUCAUUGCGAGAAGAGGCGCACCCAGAGCGUACACGUUGGGACCCGAAAGAUGGUGAACUAUGCCUGGUCAGGACGAAGUCAGGGGAAACCCUGAUGGAGGUCCGUAGCGAUUCUGACGUGCAAAUCGAUCGUCGGAACUGGGUAUAGGGGCGAAAGACUAAUCGAACCAUCUAGUAGCUGGUUCCCUCCGAAGUUUCCCUCAGGAUAGCUGGCACUCGCUCGUUCUCUUUAGUGAACGUGUGCGAGUCUCAUCUGGUAAAGCGAAUGAUUAGAGGCCUUGGGGCCGAAACGACCUCAACCUAUUCUCAAACUUUAAAUGGGUGAGAUCUCUGGCUUGCUUGGAUCAAUGAAGCCACGAGAUUUUAUAUAUGGAUCAGAGUGCCAAGUGGGCCAAUUUUGGUAAGCAGAACUGGCGCUGUGGGAUGAACCAAACGCAGAGUUAAGGCGCCUAAGUCGACGCUUAUGGGAUACCAUGAAAGGCGUUGGUUGCUUAAGACAGCAGGACGGUGGCCAUGGAAGUCGGAA